rnacentral:rRNA from 1 species
AUUGAACGCUUGCGGCAGGCCUAACACAUGCAAGUCGAGCGGUAGCACAGAGAGCUUGCUCUCGGGUGACGAGCGGCGGACGGGUGAGUAAUGUCUGGGAAACUGCCUGAUGGAGGGGGAUAACUACUGGAAACGGUAGCUAAUACCGCAUAACGUCGCAAGACCAAAGUGGGGGACCUUCGGGCCUCAUGCCAUCAGAUGUGCCCAGAUGGGAUUAGCUAGUAGGUGGGGUAACGGCUCACCUAGGCGACGAUCCCUAGCUGGUCUGAGAGGAUGACCAGCCACACUGGAACUGAGACACGGUCCAGACUCCUACGGGAGGCAGCAGUGGGGAAUAUUGCACAAUGGGCGCAAGCCUGAUGCAGCCAUGCCGCGUGUGUGAAGAAGGCCUUCGGGUUGUAAAGCACUUUCAGCGGGGAGGAAGGCGUUAAGGUUAAUAACCUUGGCGAUUGACGUUACCCGCAGAAGAAGCACCGGCUAACUCCGUGCCAGCAGCCGCGGUAAUACGGAGGGUGCAAGCGUUAAUCGGAAUUACUGGGCGUAAAGCGCACGCAGGCGGUCUGUCAAGUCGGAUGUGAAAUCCCCGGGCUCAACCUGGGAACUGCAUUCGAAACUGGCAGGCUAGAGUCUUGUAGAGGGGGGUAGAAUUCCAGGUGUAGCGGUGAAAUGCGUAGAGAUCUGGAGGAAUACCGGUGGCGAAGGCGGCCCCCUGGACAAAGACUGACGCUCAGGUGCGAAAGCGUGGGGAGCAAACAGGAUUAGAUACCCUGGUAGUCCACGCCGUAAACGAUGUCGAUUUGGAGGUUGUGCCCUUGAGGCGUGGCUUCCGGAGCUAACGCGUUAAAUCGACCGCCUGGGGAGUACGGCCGCAAGGUUAAAACUCAAAUGAAUUGACGGGGGCCCGCACAAGCGGUGGAGCAUGUGGUUUAAUUCGAUGCAACGCGAAGAACCUUACCUGGUCUUGACAUCCACAGAACUUUCCAGAGAUGGAUUGGUGCCUUCGGGAACUGUGAGACAGGUGCUGCAUGGCUGUCGUCAGCUCGUGUUGUGAAAUGUUGGGUUAAGUCCCGCAACGAGCGCAACCCUUAUCCUUUGUUGCCAGCGGUUAGGCCGGGAACUCAAAGGAGACUGCCAGUGAUAAACUGGAGGAAGGUGGGGAUGACGUCAAGUCAUCAUGGCCCUUACGACCAGGGCUACACACGUGCUACAAUGGCAUAUACAAAGAGAAGCGACCUCGCGAGAGCAAGCGGACCUCAUAAAGUAUGUCGUAGUCCGGAUUGGAGUCUGCAACUCGACUCCAUGAAGUCGGAAUCGCUAGUAAUCGUAGAUCAGAAUGCUACGGUGAAUACGUUCCCGGGCCU